GAUCAGGUGGCAGAGUGGUUAAGGUGAUUUGCUGCUAGUCCAUUGGGGGUUCCUCGCUUGAGUUCGAAUCUCAUCCUGAUCC
rnacentral:tRNA from 1 species